rnacentral:miRNA from 1 species
GUUUGGUGAAUCGGAAACUAUUU